UCCCGGGCGUGGCCGCGCUUGCUGUGGUGCUCUCGGUGCCCGUGCCGUGCGGGGGCUGAUCGGUAUCUCCCCCUUUCCUCGGGGAGGGGACGAGGACCUCGAGACCCCCAAGCAAGACUGGGGUCCCUCAAGAGCGGGUGUCCGUGGGGCACCGAGGGGCACUGGGCCGCUGCUUGUGGCGAGUAGGGCGGCACGAGAAGCGCCGCCGAGCCGGGGCUCUGCCGCACCAGAGAGCGGCUCCUCCGGCCAGCCUGUCCCGUGCGCACCUCUGGCUUUUGGGGUGUUUGCUGCUGAUGCCCCGCGCAGAAAGACAAAGUUUGACACAAACACUUAUCUGGAGGUGUGAGAAAGCAGCCACCUGUACCCGGCUGGGAGGGUGAGAGCUGGGCAUCUGCGGCAGGGCUGCUUUCAGGGGCAGGUUGUGGCUCCCCAGAGGAGUGGAAUGGGAUACUGGACUUGAUUCCUGAGGAUCACCCUGCACAGGCUGUUGGCAAUAGCAGUACUCCUGCCAUCAGGGAGCUGGCAUUGGAUCUGCUGUGAUCUCAGCCUCCUACCUAGCCUCUGAGGUGCCGAAGCAAGACAGAUUGGCUGUGGCAUCCUUGGGGUGCAGUAAGACAAAAUAGAAUGGAAUUAAGAAGGUUCCUGCAAUAUCCCGAUUGAAGUUGGAAUGUUCAAGAAUAUCGGUGUGACAGUUCCCAGGGAUGAAUCUUGUGCUCAACAGUCUGUAGCGUGGUAGCGUAGGACACAGCAGAGCAGGGCCUGAGGGACCAGGACUGUUUUAAUGUGGAGCAGUUUUAGCUGGGGACAGCUGUGGGACCUGCCUGUGCUAAUUCUGUUUUUUCUGAAGGUGUAUCAAAGUGUGCUACCAAAAUGGCUAUUUUCUCCUCUGAAAAUUAAUGCAUGUAUGUGUUUUAAUCAUGUAACCAGAUGGACUAAGAAUUUUACUUUCCAAGCAA